UACGAAGGGGGCUAGCGUUGUUCGGAUUUACUGGGCGUAAAGCGCACGUAGGCGGAUCGUUAAGUCGGGGGUGAAAUCCUGGAGCUCAACUCCAGAACUGCCUUCGAUACUGGCGAUCUUGAGUCCGGAAGAGGUGAGUGGAACUCCUAGUGUAGAGGUGGAAUUCGUAGAUAUUAGGAAGAACACCAGUGGCGAAGGCGACUUUUCUGGUCUGUAACUGACGCUGAGGCGCGAAAGCGUGGGGGAGCAAACAGG
rnacentral:rRNA from 1 species